ACCACUGCUCCAGCCUAUUCCAUUGAAAAAAAACACAACAGAUAGUUCAACGACUUCACCCAUGUUAAAAACUGCCUACAGCACCAUUGCAUAUUGUGAAAUGAUCACGUUAUGCUGGCAGUAGUAACGUGACAGAACAACUUCCAGUAUCAAAUAUACUGCUCAGUAUGGCUGGCCUUUUGCCCAGAAGACCCUGGCGCAGGACCCGCCAACUGUAGGACCCAGCUCCAAACCCAAAUUAUUGCACAGAGACCAGUUAAACCUGGUCCUUCAAGAGGAUUGCGCCGAGUACAGAAAAUGCCUCGCAGACACAGGGGCGAAGGAAUUGGGUGUCACAAGGAAUUACCUUCAGCGCGAUGUGUCGGUGGGUGCGGAAACGCGGUCAGAAUUUUUAACGCGACCCCAGGUAUGGGGGGAACCGUGACAACGCUGCUUUUUUCUAUGCAGUGACCUGAAGCCCCAUGACGUUCAAGGAAAGCCGAGUGUCGUGCCAAGCCGGAAGGAGCUGGCCGACCCUUCCUGUGCGUUCUUGGUUCAGCAAAUGCAUCUGUAAGGGCCUCAUUAAUCCAAAAUGCACGGUUAAUCACA